AGAUGACUCUCGGCAACGGAUAUCUAGGCUCUUGCCACGAUGAAGAACGUAGCCAAAUGCGAUACUUGGUGUGAAUUGCAGAAUCCCGUGAACCAUCAAGUUUUUGAACGCAAGUUGCGCCCGAGGCCACCAGGCCAAGGGCACGCCUGCCUGGGCGUCACGC
rnacentral:rRNA from 1 species